UGCUCAUAUUGUGCUUUUUGGCUUUUCCCCUUUACUUUAUUGUGAUAUAUUUCUAAUUUGUGUACGUUAGGGGUUUACAAAGUGGAAAGCCCAAAGUCCACCCCAGAAGGAAUUACCAUCUUCAACAGAAAACACUGUUCACCCACUUCUCCAAACAGCUCUGUCGUAGUCCAGCCUUUACAUCCAUGACGAACGUGUGUUCCUAGUAAAACACGUUAUAAUACUCGCCUAGCUGCUAGCGUGGCAUUCCCUCGUACUCUGCAACUGAUUAGCUAGCAGUACUUGCUGCUCAUG